CGUGCAGAAGUGUUUUGCACGAUGUCUUUUGUGUAGAUCCUGCGGCAACUUCUAUUUAACGUCGAUGGUCAAAGUCUUGUUACAAGAUAUUGGCGACAUCGGUGAUUUGGAGUUAGUGUCCUUGAGUUACGCCUUAAGCUUUGUUGGAGUUCGAUUCUUUACUCUUGGGGUUUGUUUGUUGAAGUUAGUUCGACUAAGGAAUUUUACAUAAAGAUCCAGGCAAAGGUAAUAAAGGCGGCAAACAGGCGAGGGGCAGGAAGGAA